CAUUCAGUCACGCAUUUUGUCUUCUCUUCUUGGCGCAAAUUUUCAUCUCCAUCAAGACUCUGGAAUGGAUUUUCGGGGACUCAUGCUGCUUGCUUCUGUCAUUUUGAUUCUCUUACUGGCUGUGAUGUGGAUCUACGGUUAUGAAGAUUCGAAGUUGUUCAAAGUGCUCGUGUUUACGCUAAUGAUAGUACUCGUUCUAAUUUCUGGACCUCGAGGAUUGGAAAUUAUUUUCCUUGCAAUUUGGAUGAGAAUGAUGUAAAGGAAAAAGAAAACUACACGGUUUGCAGGUUUUGAACCAAUUGCAAUUUCUCUUGAGAUUUGCACUUUCUGCUUUCGUUUUGUUGUUGUUGCUGUUAUUGUAAAUAAGUGCAAAUCAACCGUGGAGUGAAUAUUGUUUUCUGCAACGAACAAAUUUACAUUCAAGUUAC